CGUGGCCAGGUGGUUAAGACGCCAGGCUGAUAAUCUGGGGUUCGUAGAUUCGAGCCCGGU
rnacentral:tRNA from 11 species